GCAAACUUGGUCAUUUAGAGGAAGUAAAAGUCGUAACAAGGUUUCCGUAGGUGAACCUGCGGAAGGAUCAUUAAUGGGAUUUUGCUUGUGAAGGGCUGUUUGCUGGCCAUUGGCAUGUGCACGCCUGGAUCAUACACAAUCAUCCACACACCUGUGCACAACCGUAGCUUAUCGGUGGGAUUGCAAUUAGCUUUCAAUUGCAGUACUGUCCAUUCGCUAUGUACUUUUUCUCUAUACACACUAAAGUUCUUGUGGAAUGUGGAUCACAUAUGUAAUAUAACAACUUUCAGCAACGGAUCUCUUGGCUCUCGCAUCGAUGAAGAACGCAGC
rnacentral:misc_RNA from 1 species